GCAGUAGCCGCGGUAAUACGUAGGUGGCAAGCGUUGUCCGGAAUUAUUGGGCGUAAAGCGCGCGCAGGCGGCCUAUCCAGUCUGUCUUAAAAGUUCGGGGCUCAACCCCGUGAUGGGAUGGAAACUAGUAGGCUAGAGUAUCGGAGAGGAAAGCGGAAUUCCUAGUGUAGCGGUGAAAUGCGUAGAGAUGUGGAGGAACACCAGUGGCGAAGGCGACUCUCUGGUCCGUAACUGACGCUGAGGAGCGAAAGCGUGGGGAGCGAACAGGAUUAGAUACCCCCGUAGUCCCUGUCUCUUAUACA
rnacentral:rRNA from 1 species